rnacentral:rRNA from 1 species
GCCGUGGCCGGCAGCCUACACAUGCAGUCGAACGGUAGCACAGAGAGCUUGCUCUCGGGUGACGAGUGGCGGACGGGUGAGUAAUGUCUGGGAAACUGCCUGAUGGAGGGGGAUAACUACUGGAAACGGUAGCUAAUACCGCAUAAUGUCGCAAGACCAAAGAGGGGGACCUUCGGGCCUCUUGCCAUCAGAUGUGCCCAGAUGGGAUUAGCUAGUAGGUGGGGUAACGGCUCACCUAGGCGACGAUCCCUAGCUGGUCUGAGAGGAUGACCAGCCACACUGGAACUGAGACACGGUCCAGACUCCUACGGGAGGCAGCAGUGGGGAAUAUUGCACAAUGGGCGCAAGCCUGAUGCAGCCAUGCCGCGUGUAUGAAGAAGGCCUUCGGGUUGUAAAGUACUUUCAGCGGGGAGGAAGGUGUUGAGGUUAAUAACCUCAGCAAUUGACGUUACCCGCAGAAGAAGCACCGGCUAACUCCGUGCCAGCAGCCGCGGUAAUACGGAGGGUGCAAGCGUUAAUCGGAAUUACUGGGCGUAAAGCGCACGCAGGCGGUCUGUCAAGUCGGAUGUGAAAUCCCCGGGCUCAACCUGGGAACUGCAUUCGAAACUGGCAGGCUAGAGUCUUGUAGAGGGGGGUAGAAUUCCAGGUGUAGCGGUGAAAUGCGUAGAGAUCUGGAGGAAUACCGGUGGCGAAGGCGGCCCCCUGGACAAAGACUGACGCUCAGGUGCGAAAGCGUGGGGAGCAAACAGGAUUAGAUACCCUGGUAGUCCACGCCGUAAACGAUGUCGACUUGGAGGUUGUGCCCUUGAGGCGUGGCUUCCGGAGCUAACGCGUUAAGUCGACCGCCUGGGGAGUACGGCCGCAAGGUUAAAACUCAAAUGAAUUGACGGGGGCCCGCACAAGCGGUGGAGCAUGUGGUUUAAUUCGAUGCAACGCGAAGAACCUUACCUACUCUUGACAUCCAGAGAACUUAGCAGAGAUGCAUUGGGUGCCUUCGGGAACUCUGAGACAGUGCUGCAUGGCUGUCGUCAGCUCGUGUUGUGAAAUGUUGGGGUUAGUCCCGCAACGAGCGCAACCCUUAUCCUUUGUUGCCAGCGGUUCAGGCCCGGGAAACCUCAAAGGAGAACUGCCAGUGAUAAACUGGGAGG